rnacentral:rRNA from 1 species
AUUGAACGCUGGCGGCAGGCCUAACACAUGCAAGUCGAACGAGUGGCGGACGGGUGAGGAAUGUCUGGGAAACUGCCCGAUGGAGGGGGAGAACUACUGGAAACGGUAGCUAAUACCGCAUACCAUCGGAUGUGCCCAGAUGGGAUUUGCUAGUAGGGGGGGUAACGGCUCACCUAGGCGACGAUCCCUAGCUGGUCUGGGAGGAUGACCAGCCACACUGGAACUGGGCCACGGUCCAGACUCCUACGAGAGGCAGCAGUGGGGAAAAUUGCACAAUGGGCGCAAGCCUGAUGCGGCCAUGCCGCUUGUAUGAAGAGGGCUUUCGGGUUGUAAAGUACUUUCAGCGAUUAGGCGUUACUCGCAGAAGAAGCACCGGCUAACUCCGUGCCAGCAGCCGCGGUAAUUC